rnacentral:rRNA from 1 species
AGAACGAACGCUGGCGGCAUGCCUAACACAUGCAAGUCGAACGCUCAUCCGGCUUCGGCCGGAUGGGAGUGGCGCACGGGUGAGUAGCGCGUGGGAACCUGCCCUGUUGUGGGGGAUAAACCGAGGGAAACUUCGGCUAAUACCGCAUGCGCCCCGGCGAAAGCCGGGGGAAAGAUUUAUCGCAGCAGGAGGGGCCCGCGUCGGAUUAGGUAGUUGGUGGGUAACGGCCCACAAGCCGAUGAUCCGUAGCUGGUCUGAGAGGAUGAUCAGCCACACUGGGACUGAGACACGGCCCAGACUCCUACGGGAGGCAGCAGUGGGGAAUAUUGGACAAUGGGGGCAACCCUGAUCCAGCAAUGCCGCGUGAGUGAUGAAGGCCUUAGGGUUGUAAAGCUCUUUUCGCCCGGCGACGAUGAUGACGGUAGCGGGAGAAGAAGCCCCGGCUAACUUCGUGCCAGCAGCCGC